GGGAGAGACCACAGGGAGCAGAGAGAGGUAGGAAAUAAAAAGGGGAAGAUGGGGAGAGACCACAGGAAGCAGAUAGAGGUAGGAAAUAAAAAGGGGAAUACUGGGAGAGACCACAGGGAGCAGAGAGAGGUAGGUAAUAAAAAGGGGAAUACUGGGAGAGACCACAGGGAGCAGAGAGAGGUAUGCAAUAAAAAGGGGAAGAUGGGGAGAGACCACAGGGAGCAGAGAGAGGUAGGUAAUAAAAAGGGGAAGAUGGGGAGAGACCACAAGCAGCAGAGAGAGGUAGGAAAUAAAAAGGGGAAUACUGGGAGAGACCACAGGGAGCAGAGAGAGGUAGGUAAUAAAAAGGGGAAUACUGGGAGAGACCACAGGGAGCAGAGAGAGGUGGGAAAUAAAAACGGGAAGAUGGGGAGAGACCACAGGGAGCAGAGAGAGGUAGGAAAUAAAAAGGGGAAGAUGAGGAGGGACCACAGGGAGCAGAGAGAGGUAGGAAAUAAAAAGGGGAAGAUGGGGAGAGACCACAGGGAGCAGAGAGAGGUAGGAAAUAAAAAGGGGAAGAUGGGGAGAGACCACAGGGAGCAGAGAGAGGUAGGAAAUAAAAAGGGGAAGAUGGGGAGGGACCAUAGGGAGCAGAGAGAGGUA